UACGUAGGGUGCGAGCGUUAAUCGGAAUUACUGGGCGUAAAGCGUGCGCAGGCGGUUAUGUAAGACAGUUGUGAAAUCCCCGGGCUCAACCUGGGAAUUGCAUCUGUGACUGCAUAGCUAGAGUACGGUAGAGGGGGAUGGAAUUCCGCGUGUAGCAGUGAAAUGCGUAGAUAUGCGGAGGGACACCGAUGGCGAAGGCAAUCCCCUGGACAACACCUGACACUGAGGCACGAAAGCUAGGGGAGCAAACAGG
rnacentral:rRNA from 1 species